ensembl:lncRNA
ACUCUACUCUAACUAAUAACUCUACAUAACUCUAUAGUAACACUACAGUAACUCUACAGUAACACUACAGUAACUCUACAGUAACAUUACAGAACUCUACAGUAACAAUUCAGUAACUCUACAGAACUCUACAGAACUCUAUAGUAAGACUACAGUAACUCUACAGUAACACUACAGUAACACUACAGUAACUCUACAGAACUCUAUAGUAACUCUACAGUAACAUUACAGAACUCUACAGUAACAAUUCAGUAACUCUACAGAAUUCUACAGAAUUCUACAGUAACACUACAGUAACACUACAGUAACUCUACAGUAACUCUACAGAACUCUAUAGUAAGACUACAGUAACUCUACAGUAACACUACAGUAACUCUACAGUAACUCUACAGUAACACUACAGUAACUCUUCAGUAACACUACAGUAACUCUACAGUAACAUUACAGAACUCUACAGUAACAAUUCAGUAACUCUACAGAAUUCUACAUAACUCUACAGUAACACUACAGUAACACUACAGUAACUCUACAGAACUCUAUAGUAACUCUACAGUAACAUUACAGAACUCUACAGUAACAAUUCAGUAACUCUACAGAAUUCUACAGAAUUCUACAGUAACACUACAGUAACACUACAGUAACUCUACAGUAACUCUACAGAACUCUAUAGUAAGACUACAGUAACUCUACAGUAACACUACAGUAACUCUACAGUAACUCUACAGAACUCUAUAGUAAGACUACAGUAACUCUACAGUAACACUACAGUAACUCUACAGUAACUCUACAUAAUUCUAUAGUAACUCUACAGUAACAUUACAGAACUCUACAGUAACACUACAGUAACUCUACAGAAUUCUACAGUAACACUACAGUAACUCUACAGUAACUCUACAGAACUCUAUAGUAAGACUACAGUAACUCUACAGUAACUUUACAGAAUUCUACAGUAACACUACAGUAACUCUACAGAACUCUACAGUAACAAUUCAGUAACUCUACAGAAUUCUACAGUAACACUACAGUAACUCUACAGAACUCUACAGUAACUCUACAUAACUCUAUAGUAAGACUACAGUAACUCUACAGAACUCUAUAGUAAGACUACAGUAACUCUACAGUAACUCUACAUAAUUCUAUAGUAACUCUACAGUAACAUUACAGAACUCUACAGUAACAAUUCAGUAACUCUACAGAAUUCUACAGUAACACUACAGUAACACUACAGUAACUCUACAGUAACUCUACAGAACUCUAUAGUAAGACUACAGUAACUCUACAGAACUCUAUAGUAAGACUACAGUAACUCUACAGUAACACUACAGUAACUCUACAGUAACUCUACAUAAUUCUAUAGUAACUCUACAGUAACAUUACAGAACUCUACAGUAACACUACUGUAACUCUACAGAACUCUACAGUAACUCUACAGAACUCUAUAGUAACACUACAGUAACUCUACAGUAACUCUACAGUCAUACUGUUCUAACUCUACAGGACACUGAUGAUUUUUGUCAGAUGUUCAGGUCAGUGUUUGAAACAACACGCUACAAAAUACCAAAGAAAGAUCACACCAUCAUGACCUUAUAAAAUGUUUCUCAAAGCAAAAUAUGUUUAUUGCACCUUAGAG